UACAGAGGGUGCGAGCGUUGUCCGGAAUCACUGGGCGUAAAGGGCGCGUAGGUGGUGGCUUAAGCGUGCGGUGAAAGCUCGGGGCUCAACCCCGAGUCGGCCGUGCGAACUGGGCUCACUGGAGCAUAGUAGAGGCAGGUGGAAUUCCGGGUGUAGCGGUGGAAUGCGUAGAGAUCCGGAAGAACACCGGUGGCGAAGGCGGCCUGCUGGGCUAUGGCUGACACUGAG
rnacentral:rRNA from 1 species